GACAGAGGGGGCAAGCGUUGCUCGGAAUCACUGGGCGUAAAGGGCGCGUAGGCGGGAUGGCAAGUCGGUCGUGAAAUCCUUCGGCUCAACCGAAGAACGUCGGCCGAUACUGCCGUUCUUGAGGGAUGCAGAGGAGAUUGGAAUUCCCGGUGUAGCGGUGAAAUGUGUAGAGAUCGGGAGGAACACCGGUGGCGAAGGCGGGUCUCUGGGCAUCUCCUGACGCUGAGGCACGAAAGCUAGGGGAGCAAACAGG
rnacentral:rRNA from 1 species